rnacentral:lncRNA from 1 species
ACGAGGAGAGAGCCCUGGUUGGUUGGCUCCAGGUGUCCUGGAUCUCAGGGGAGAUCCCUCACAGGCUGGAGUGAGUUCAGAGGUAAAGCAGGGCCCAGAGCAUCGGGCCAAGGAGAGCAAUGGUCACAGGCAUUGGAGAGAGGACACAGGGAAUGGGAAUGAUCAUGCAGCUUCCCUCCAACAGAGCAAGGGUGAAAAACCAGGUUUGCUCCUUUCGCUGUAGAAUGGGGUAAGUUGAUCUGUCCAUUGAGGGGAAACUUGGGGGGACAUGUAGCCAAGCCUUGGCCCUGGCCAUCCCCGUGGGGCUGAGCAUUGUUGUUCUAUGAUUAAGACAACACUCCCUGUCCCUACCAUCCCUCAGAGAAGAACAAGUGUUUGUGACUCACAGUGACUGUGACUCCAACGUGGGGGAGCUCUCUGACUUCUGUGACCAAAAUACAUGAGAGAUAACUUACAGGAGGAAAAGUCUGUUUGGGCUGCAGUUUUGUUAAAUUUCAGCCUGUGGUCAUCUGGCGUUUAGACCUAGGGCAAAGCAGAAUCAUCGGGACUAGGACAGAAGGGUGUGGUAGAGAAAAGGGGGGAAGGGAAAGGGAAGCGCUAAGCGCAAGACAGACCUACAAAGCCACGCUCCUCCUGCUGCAUCCUCCAACCAGGCUCCACUUUCUGCUAGGCCAGCCCGCUAUGAACUCAUCCAUGAGGUUAGCACCCUCAAGGUCCAUUCUCGGUCAUUACUGCCGCUAUCUAGGGACUAAGACUCCACAAGGAGCCUUUGGGAGACUCUUCAUAUUUAAACAAGCAGCCACCAGGAAGGUUUGAAGAGUUGGUACAUUUCUGGAUGUGGAGUGGGGCCCUGGUGGCGUGUGGGUGGGACACAGGUUCCUCUUCUCUAACUGGUUCUGCCCUUCCCUGUCCCCUGCCCUUGUGUAACAGUAACCACAGCAUAUUUGAAUUUCAAAAUACUCAAACAGUGAUUUCUUACUAAAUUCUGUGUCUUAGCUCAAUCCCUACAGCAGAGAUGAUUCCAUUAUUUAUUUAUCUUUUGUUACAAAUGAAAACUGAAGCUCCGCUAAGCUUGUGUCUGGCUAAGCUUGUGUCUGGCUAAGGUGGUGUCUUGCUCUGGACCCUAUAGUAGAUAGCAGAGCUGUCUCUCAAUCUCAGAUGUGACCUCCAAAUCUUUACCUCUAACUCCUGUGUCAACCCAAGGGGCAGGCUCCUCACUGACUGUGGGGAGGGGAGGAGACUCAGUCAAGCUGAAACCAGCUCUGUGGUCCCCUGGCCUAAAUCCUGAAGAUGGCUACCACAUGGCCUAUCCUGCUUCCUGCUCCUUGCCUUCCCAGAGCACUGGGCCUCCUUGUAGUUGCAGACAGGCUAGCAUCCACCUGCAGAGGAGCCAGAUUGGUGGGAAGAGGGAACUGUUGUAGUGAUGGGCCAGGCUUCUUCCCCUAUUCUAGGGCUCCCUAUUAGACACAACGACAUCACUGUUCCCCAUUCUUGCACGAGAUUUACUGAUGCUAAAUUUAACAACGCCUGGAACCUUGAUCAAUACCUGGGGUAAGAUCAGGCCACACAGAGCUGGUUCCCUUAAACCCAUCAUUUUAGCUCACAUGUUUGCCUUCUUUUGUCUGUUUGUCCUGGUUGUCUCUCAGGUUACCUACAAGCAGGGACUUGCAGGAGGAGGGGGAGAGGAGGAGGAGGAGAAGGGGAGAGGAGGAGGAGGAAGAAGAGGAAGAGGAAGAGGAGGAGGAGGAGGAGGAGGAGGAGGAGGAGGAGGAGGAAGAGGCCACUUCCCAAUGCCCUGGCUUACAUGCCUCUCCUUUCCACAGCAUCCAGAAGAACAAGGAGCCAUAGGGCAAGAAGGGAACCAAUGUAGGGCUAUCAUGGGCUAAAGAAUGGAGAGGUAUUUGGCUCAUGGUUCAAGAGACUUGAAGUCCAGUAGCCGGAUACAUACUCCUGGUCUCGAUUCUAACACCUUCACAGUGGCCGCUGCGUUUCACACACCCUGCCUGGGAGGCCAGGCUCUGCUGUGCUGGUCUAGGCAUGAGCAGACAUCCCUUCUCCGACAACCGACCAAAGAACAGCUCCA